AUGACAAUUGAGCUUCUUCGUAGAAAAUCCCUCCUCACAGCGAACUCACGUAUAUACGAAUCCACACUUCACAUUUUCUACCCCUCUCCUUCCCCGCCUAUAUCGCCUCUGCUUCUGACUCCCGUCUUUUAUUACGAUCUCAGUAUUGUCAUUGUUCUGAUUCUGCUACGAAAUUGUUAUGAGAUUGAAGUAGCGAUGAUGAUUAUUGAUGUUGUAUUUGAAUCUUUGAUGCAGUGA